GGGGGGGGCAAGCGUUGUUCGGAAUUACUGGGCGUAAAGGGCGCGCAGGCGGGCGGGAAAGUCUCUCGUGAAAGCCCACGGCUCAACCGUGGAAUUGCGGGAGAUACUACUCGUCUUGAGUCCGGGAGAGGAGUGUGGAAUUCCCAGUGUAGCGGUGAAAUGCGUAGAUAUUGGGAGGAACACCGGUGGCGAAGGCGGCACUCUGGACCGGUACUGACGCUGAGGCGCGAAAGCUAGGGGAGCAAACGGGAUUAGAUACCCCGGGUAGUCCUGGCUGUAAACGCUGAGCACUUGGUGUAGCGGGUAUCGACCCCCCCUGCUGUGCCGAAGCUAACGCAUUAAGUGCUCCGCCUGGGGGAGUACGGUCGCAAGGCUG
rnacentral:rRNA from 1 species